CUGGGAGAAGCUCAGCCACACAAGCAGCACAUCAGAAGAACCCUCUGAGGCUAUGAAAAAGCGGGACUUGGGUCCAACAGCCAGGUUUUUUCUUUAGACUCUCACCUGUUACAGGCCCAAGCCCGUUACCCACAGCACUGGGUAUUUGAGUGCUUGGAGGGGAUGGCUGUGACCCUUCCUCCUCCACAAGAAGGGACAGCUGUUCCCUUCAGCACUGCACCUCUAUGGUGACAUGAGACCCACUUCAGGUUCUGUGGCUAAAGUGGGCAGACUGCCAUUCCCACUGGGAUGGCUGGGUCCAAAGGCUCCCAGACUGCCUAUGGCCAAGUCUGCCCCUGGAGGCUCAGCAGGACCAGGACAGAAACCUGAGCUGACCCAAAGAAACUCCCACUGUGAAGUCAUCAACACAAUCUGAGUAAUCCAGAAUGACCUGGCCUGCUGUCCCAGGCAAGAACAGCUGGGGUUAACACAGGCCAGGGACCAGCCCAGGAGGCAGCUCAGAUGCAACUUCCUGCUUCUUGGGAAGGGAAGUAAGAAGGGAAGGAAGGGUUUAAACUGCAAGGCCAUAGUUCCUCCAUGCCAGCUGGCCCCACACCAAAUGGCCUGCUCAGCUCAUUAGUAGCCAGCAAGUCCUUCCAAAGCUGCUCACAACCACUUUCAGAAUUAAGUCAUAAUUAAGAUCAAAGCCUGGCAACAAUGCUCCUUUCAAUGCCCACCAGAACCUACCCAGCCCGCCCGCUCCCCAGCCCUGGAACAUCCCGACCAGCUCCCACAAAGCCCGGGAUUUACCAGCUGGGAGCCGGCCCCAGGCUCCCAGCCGGAGUUCUCCGUGCCUGUGGAUUUGGACACAUGCUCCGGCGGUGAAUGUUCCCAGGCUCCGGGCCAGCUUUGCUGGGAUAACUCAUCACCCUGCCAUCCCAGCAGACCCCGGAACGGACGGCGAGCUUUCCCCGGCCACCACAGCACAGCCCCGGCUCCUGGGGAGGGCGCAGCCCCUGCCCCUCCGCGCUACGUGGGCGGAGUGCCCCAGCCCCGGCUGCCUGCAGAGCCCNNNNNNNNNNNNNNNNNNNNNNNNNNNNNNNNNNNNNNNNNNNNNNNNNNNNNNNNNNNNNAGCAGCAGCGGCAGCAGCAGCGGCAGCAGCGACGCGCUCGCAGCCAUGAUGGGCGAGGGGCAGCCGCGGAGCCGCCGGCAGUCCAGGCUCCAGCCCGUGGAACGCGGGAGGAGG
rnacentral:lncRNA from 1 species